AACGAACGCUGGCGGCAUGCCUAACACAUGCAAGUCGAACGAGACCUUCGGGUCUAGUGGCGCACGGGUGCGUAACGCGUGGGAACCUGCCCUUAGGUUCGGAAUAACUCCCCGAAAGGGGUGCUAAUACCGGAUAAUGUCUUCGGACCAAAGAUUUAUCGCCUUUGGAUGGGCCCGCGUUGGAUUAGCUAGUUGGUAGGGUAAAAGUCUACCAAGGCGACGAUCCAUAGCUGGUCUGAGAGGAUGAUCAACCACACUGGGACUGAGACACGGCCCAGACUCCUACGGGAGGCAGCAGUGGGGAAUAUUGGACAAUGGGCGAAAGCCUGAUCCAGCAAUGCCGCGUGAGUGAUGAAGGCCUUAGGGUUGUAAAGCUCUUUUACCCGGGAUGAUAAUGACAGUACCGGGAGAAUAAGCUCCGGCUAACUCCGUG
rnacentral:rRNA from 1 species